rnacentral:lncRNA from 1 species
AAGCUCUGGGAGGUGAGACGGCCCAUUCAAGGUUAUCAGCUAGCGAGCGGAAGUGCUGAGACACGCAUCCACGCAGCCCGAUCCCGGGCCUUCCACCCUACCACACAGCUGAACAUGCUGUGCAUUGUUAUCGUGAUUUUUAAAAAGCCUUACCAGCUGGGAAAAUGAUUUCUUUUAGGCACAGGCCCUAUCUGCUUCGUGUCUGGGGACACUUCAUGAGGUGGGGACACCCUAGGAAAGCCUCUGGUCCUCUGCUGGUCCCUCCGGUCCUGGGUCUGGAGUUUCCCUGAGAGAGGAUGAGAGAAGACGAGGAGGCCGUCACAGCCGACACCGUGGGGAGGAGGCGUGUAGAUCCUAGAACUGAACUAGUUGAGCAACUCAUCUCUGACCUGCUCUGCUGGCCUGGAGAAAUGAAUACACUGAGGCCUCUCCCCUGCCCCUUCACGACUUACCCGAGGCUUCCAUCUGUUCAGUCUUGAAUUUUUGAGGAAGAUUAGCCUCUUUGUGCUGAGGAAUCCUGGCCCUGAGCUAACAUCCGUGCCCAUCUUCCUCUACUUUAUAUGUGGGACGCCUACCACAGCAUGGCUUGCCAAGCGGUGCCAUGUCCGCACCUGGGAUCCGAACCGGCGAACCCCGGGCUGCCGAGAAGCAGAACAUGCACACUUAACCACUGCGCCACUGGGCCGGCCCCUCCUCCAUGUCUUUUCAUUGCUUGAUAUCUCUUUUUUUUUUUUUAGCGCUGAAUAAUAUUCUGUUGUCUAGAUGUA